UGGGGAAUUUUGGACAAUGGACGCAAGUCUGAUCCAGCCAUUCCGCGUGCAGGAUGAAGGCCCUCGGGUUGUAAACUGCUUUUGUACGGAACGAAAAGGUCUCUCUUAAUAUGGGGGCUCAUGACGGUACCGUAAGAAUAAGCACCGGCUAACUACGUGCCAGCAGCCGCGGUAAU
rnacentral:rRNA from 1 species